CAAAAAAGCAGAAAGAAACGCACAUUUCGAAGAAUUUGUUUUUUUUUUCAGUUUUUCCCUUGUUUUUUUUUUCUUUUCAUUUCCUCUUUCUCCCCUUCUCUGAUUACUUU
rnacentral:ribozyme from 13 species